rnacentral:rRNA from 1 species
CCUACGGGUGGCAGCAGUGGGGAAUAUUUGGCAAUGGGCGCAAGCCUGACGCAGCAACGCCGCGUGAAGGAAGAAGGCUUUCGGGUUGUACACUUCUUUUAUUGAGGACGAAACAAAUGACGGUACUCAAUUAAUAAGCCACUGCUAACUACGUGCCAGCAGCCGCUGUAAUACGUAGGUGGCAAGCGUUAUCCGGAUUUACUGGGUGUAAUGGCCGUGUUGGCGGGAGUUCAAGUCAGAUGUGAAACCCAUGGGCUCAACCCAUGCACUGCAUUGGAAACUGUAGUUCUUGAGUGAUGGAGAGGCAGGCGGAAUUCCGUGUGUAGCGGUGAAAUGCGUAGAUAUACGGAGGAACACCAGUGGCGAAGGCGGCCUGCUGGACAUUAACUGACGCUGAGGCGCGAAAGCGUGGGGAGCAAACAGGAUUAGAUACCCUUGUAGUC